rnacentral:rRNA from 1 species
GACGAACGCUGGCGGCGUGCUUAACACAUGCAAGUCGAACGGACAGGCCCUGCUUUUGUGGGGUGCUCGAGUGGCGAACGGGUGAGUAACACGUGAGUAACCUGCCCUUGACUUUGGGAUAACUUCAGGAAACUGGGGCUAAUACCGGCUAGGAGCUCCUGCUGCAUGGUGUGGGUUGGAAAGUUUCGGCGGUUGGGGAUGGACUCGCGGCUGAUCAGCUUGUUGGUGGGGUAGUGGCUUACCAAGGCUUUGACGGGUAGCCGGCCUGAGAGGGUGACCGGCCACAUUGGGACUGAGAUACGGCCCAGACUCCUACGGGAGGCAGCAGUGGGGAAUAUUGCACAAUGGGCGGAAGCCUGAUGCAGCAACGCCGCGUGCGGGAUGACGGCCUUCGGGUUGUAAACCGCUUUCGCCUGUGACGAAGCGUGAGUGACGGUAAUGGGUAAAGAAGCACCGGCUAACUACGUG